AGGGAAUAUUGGACAAUGGGCGCAAGCCUGAUCCAGCCAUCCCGCGUGAAGGAUUAAGGCCCUAUGGGUUGUAAACUUCUUUUCUCUGGGAAUAAAAAGCGGGAUUUAUCCUGCCUUGAAGGUAUCAGAGGAAUAAGCACCGGCUAACUCCGUGCCAGCAGCCGCGGUAAUACGGAGGGUGCAAGCGUUAUCCGGAUUCACUGGGUUUAAAGGGAGCGUAGGUGGCUUUGUAAGUCAGUGGUGAAAUGUCGCAGCUUAACUGCGAAACUGCCAUUGAUACUGCUUAGCUUGAAUCACGUCGAGGUGGAUGGAAUAUUACAUGUAGCGGUGAAAUGCUUAGAUAUGUAAUAGAACACCGAUUGCGAAGGCAGUUCACUAGGCGUGUAUUGACACUGAGGCUCGAAAGCGUGGGGAUCAAAC
rnacentral:rRNA from 1 species